UGGGGAAUUUUGGACAAUGGGCGAAAGCCUGAUCCAGCAAUGCCGCGUGUGUGAAGAAGGCCUUCGGGUUGUAAAGCACUUUUGUCCGGAAAGAAAUCCUUGGCUCUAAUACAGUCGGGGGGAUGACGGUACCGGAAGAAUAAGCACCGGCUAACUACGUGCCAGCAGCCGCGGUAAUACGUAGGGUGCAAGCGUUAAUCGGAAUUACUGGGCGUAAAGCGUGCGCAGGCGGUUCGGAAAGAAAGGUGUGAAAUCCCAGGGCUUAACCUUGGAACUGCACUUUUUAAACUACCGAGCUAGAGUACGUCAGAGGGGGGUAGAAUUCCACGUGUAGCAGUGAAAUGCGCAGAGAUGUGGAGGAAUACCGAUGGCGAAGGCAGCCCCCUGGGCCAAUACUGACGCUCAUGCACGAAAGCGUGGGGAGCAAACAGGAUUAGAUACCCUGGUAGUCCACGCCCUAAACGAUGUCAACUAGUUGUUGGGGAUUCAUUUCCUUAGUAACGUAGCUAACGCGUGAAGUUGACCGCCUGGGGAGUACGGUCGCAAGAUUAAAACUCAAAGGAAUUGACGGGGUCAUAGCUGUUUCCU
rnacentral:rRNA from 1 species